GCAAUUGCACAUUCUAAACUUGGAAAUCACCAGGAUUCACUAAGGGAUGCAGAAGCAGCCAUUGAGUUAAAUCCAACUUUCCUUAAGGCAAUUGUGAGAGGAGCCGCUGCUUGUCUUGAAUUGAAGAGAUUUGAAGAAGCA